GAAGAUGUCAUCAAUAAUGUAGAUUAGAGAGAUGGAUUUGGUGAGUUCAAUCCUUUGGUCUGAAAAUCUUGGAUCUGUGAAGCAUGCCAUGGGCCAAAGGUACCAUUUCAGAGGUUCAUACAUACAGAACUUCUCCUCCCUCACCAUUCCAACAUCUUUCCACCAUCUGUUAAUGUUAAUGUUAAUGUAUAAAGGGUUAUUACUUUUGCUAAAAUCAACAUUCCAAGUGGGAUUAUGUAAUGAAACUUACUUAAGUGUUUCUGAUAAAAAAAAAUAAUGAAACUUACUUGUAAUGAAACUUACCUGUAAACUUGAAUGAUUUCAUUCUGGUUCAUCAUCCUAACUAUGCAGGAAUUUAUUUCAGCAAGUUUCUCUAUGCAUGUCCAUUCUUUCUUGGUCUUGUAAUCACUUAGAGCUAAACUUGUUGUGUCCCUGAAUCUUGAUAAGCCAUAAUGAAGUGGAUUCUGAAGAGUGUUAGCAACAUAUAUAGCUUCAUGAUGUUCUCUAUGUCUUUUCAGCCAUGAAUGAAGAAGUUGGCAGCAGAGGAAACCUGCAUCAUCAAGACUAUCUUCUCCUUCAAUACUUAGCUGGGCUGCCUCAUGCAGGGCAAUCAGACUCUUCACGUCUUCACCGUGUUUAGCUCUGAACUCUCUUUUAUUACUCUUCAAGCCCUCAAAUACAUCUGCACACCAUUAUAGUUGGUACCUUUAGUUAGCAUUUAGUAAAAAAUUCCUUCAACAAAAACAUAGCUCUGCUAAAAUAUCUGAACUUUAUCAACUUCAUAAAACCUAUGAAAUUCUUUAAUAUCUAAUCAAUGUAGUAUCUCCAACAUCUCCAAAAUGUGAAUUCUGUCUGUGAUUAUGCAUGUGCUAUUGAAGACUGCAAAUAUAUAUUAUGUUUGGUGAACAGUUUAUAAGAAGAGAGUGAAGAUAAUUUGAACCUGCGGGAACAUGAUAUCCUCUUUGUCUAAGUAAACGGAAUAAAAGUGCCAGUUCAUAAAGUUUAUGGUGAUUGGCAAAAUCACUGAUAUGACUGAUAAAUAUGGAACAUUGGUUCUGAAGAAGUGCUUCAAUUUCCUCUUGAAAAUGGUGUUCGAUGCCAAGCCUUUGGAUAAUGUCAAUGACAUAGAAACACUCCAUGUAAUCCUCGCUAACAAGUUUCUGGAAUGCUUGCUUAACUUCCUUCAAUACCA
rnacentral:lncRNA from 1 species